AGCGAACGCUGGCGGCAGGCUUAACACAUGCAAGUCGAACGGUCCUUCGGGACAGUGGCGGACGGGUGAGUAACACGUGGGAACGUGCCCUUAGCUUCGGAACAACCCAGGGAAACUUGGGCUAAUACCGGAUGUGCCCUUCGGGGGAAAGAUUUAUCGGCUUUGGAGCGGCCCGCGUCUGAUUAGCUAGUUGGUGGGGUAAUGGCCUACCAAGGCGACGAUCAGUAGCUGGUCUGAGAGGAUGACCAGCCACACUGGGACUGAGACACGGCCCAGACUCCUACGGGAGGCAGCAGUGGGGAAUCUUGCGCAAUGGGCGAAAGCCUGACGCAGCCAUGCCGCGUGGAUGAUGAAGGUCUUAGGAUUGUAAAAUCCUUUCAGCGGGGACGAUAAUGACGGUACCCGCAGAAGAAGCCCCGGCUAACUUCGUGCCAGCCGCCGCGGUAACAC
rnacentral:rRNA from 1 species